UGGGGAAUAUUGCACAAUGGGCGCAAGCCUGAUGCAGCCAUGCCGCGUGUAUGAAGAAGGCCUUCGGGUUGUAAAGUACUUUCAGUCGGGAGGAAGGUGUCAAGGUUAAUAACCUUGGCAAUUGACGUUACCGACAGAAGAAGCACCGGCUAACUCCGUGCCAGCAGCCGCGGUAAUACGGAGGGUGCAAGCGUUAAUCGGAAUUACUGGGCGUAAAGCGCACGCAGGCGGUUGAUUGAGUCAGAUGUGAAAUCCCCGGGCUUAACCCGGGAAUUGCAUCUGAUACUGGUCAGCUAGAGUCUUGUAGAGGGGGGUAGAAUUCCAUGUGUAGCGGUGAAAUGCGUAGAGAUGUGGAGGAAUACCGGUGGCGAAGGCGGCCCCCUGGACAAAGACUGACGCUCAGGUGCGAAAGCGUGGGGGGCAAACAGG
rnacentral:rRNA from 1 species